rnacentral:rRNA from 1 species
AAUUAUGUGAAGCAAGCUGUCAUGCUUGUCAGAUGAUAUACAGGUCUGUUACUAUGCAAGGCUAUACCUGGUGAAGUGUCACCGCCUGAUGGUGGUAACGCGUUGCCUACGUACAGUCAAACCGAUGGUGGGGUGCCUAUCUGUCUGAUGCCUUUCGACAUGCUCGUGGCUUUUAGUCACCAGUCCAUGCUUGUGGGCGACAGAGUGUACUACCUUUGACGGUAGUGCUAGGCUCAAUGAGUGGUUGCACAUCAAGGGCUACGGCCCGGACACCGCCCCAUUCCAGUUUUAUACUUUACCAUACACUGUUGAGCGAACCGUGUCUUUGGACUCGAUUCAAAACUCAUGUGUGCCCGGCUUCGCUGGGUUGCACUCAGUCACCUGGCGUGGCCUUCCCCCAGGCUUGACUGAAAUACUCGGAUUUUCUGAGUAUUGUACAACUCUGUGCGGUGGAUCACUCGGCUCGUGUGUCGAUGAAGAGCGCAGCCAACUGUGUGAAUUAAUGUGAACUGCAUGCUGCUUUGAACAUCGACAUCUUGAACGCAUAUUGCGGUCACAGGUUAGCCUGUGGCCACGUCUGUCCGAGAGUCGGCUUACAUAUUAUCACGACGCCCAAAAUGUCGUGGCUUGGGUAAUGCCAGCUGGCGUGAUUUCCCUGAACCUGUGACUGCUGUUGUUGAUCAGGAUUUGGGGUGUCAGAUCUUUGGCGUUUCCCUGAUUUACCCGAAUACAUUUGCAUCGUCGUUGGUUACAUUGUUCGAAUGUGAAUGUGGCGACGGAGUCGUGGCUCAGUGUUGUUUGUCAAUCGCGCUCCGUUCAUGCCAAUUCAUUCGUAUACGAUGCUUUAUUGUUGUUCGAUGGUUAACCACUAUUUCCCGACCUCGGAUCAGGCGUGAUUACCCGCUGAACUUAAGCAUAUCACUAAGCGGAGGAAAAGAAACUAACAAGGAUUCCCUCAGUACGGCGAGUGAACAGGGAAGAGCCCAGCACCGAAGCCUUUGGUCGUUUGAUCAUUAGGCAAUGUGGUGUUUAGGUCGGUUCGCAGAGGCACUGCUCCACUCUGAGUCCAGCAAUGAGUACGGCAGCUUGGACAUGGCCCAUAGAGGGUGAAAGGCCCGUGAGAGUGGAGUUCAGGCAGGCCAGUGCCUCUCUGGAUUGACCUGGGAGUCGGGUUGUUUGAGAAUGCAGCCCAAAGUGGGUGGUAAACUCCAUCCAAGGCUAAAUACUAGCACGAGUCCGAUAGCGAACAAGUACCGUGAGGGAAAGUUGAAAAGUACUUUGAAGAGAGAGUAAACAGUGCGUGAAACCGCUCAGAGGUAAACGGGUGGAGUUGAACUGCAUACUCCGUGAACUCAGCUGGUGAGGAUGUUUUGGGCUUGGUCAAAUGGGUUAGACACUGAGGUAUACUGAGCUGUAUGUCCUGAUCAAAUUGGUUGGGAUGCACGCUACGCUCAUCAUGCGUUGUGCGCCUCGGUUGUUUAUCUGCCCCCUCGUCAGUGCAUUUUCACGGAGUGAUCACCACGACCGGCGUUGCUGCCCGGCCGCUUUGGUCGAACUGCCCUUUCACCGUCCAUGUGGCGUUGUUUGGUUGGGAUGGCAGGUAGCUCGUUGGCUUGCUCUUUUGCUUGCCUCCGGGUAUAAUCAGCUGACCAAAGUGGGACUGUGCAGUACGUCGGAGAUAGCGGCUUGUUGUGCGUGCUUGCGUAUUUCAUCUUCCAGAGGUUCUCGGUUUGGUUAUUAUGUUGCCUGUCUCGGCAGGUCUAGUGAUAUCCGAGUUCCUAUUGGUUGGUGGUUGCGCAGGUGGCACCUUGUAUGGCCGAUAGUCUGUGGUGCUGUGGUAGACUAUCCACCCGACCCGUCUUGAAACACGGACCAAGGAGAGUAACAUGUGCGCGAGUCAUUGGGUGAUACGAAACCCAAAGGCGCAGUGAAAGUGAAGGUCUGGCUUGUCCAGUCUGAGGUGAGAUCUUGUCGUUUCUCAUGCGCGGUACCACCAAGCUUGGAGCGACAGGCGCAUCACCGGCCCGUCCCAUGACGUAGACAUGGUCAAUGUACUCGUGCAUCGUCGGGGCGGAGCAUGAGCGCACAUGUUGAGACCCGAAAGAUGGUGAACUAUGCUUGCGCAGGUUGAAGCCAGAGGAAACUCUGGUGGAGGACCGCAGCGAUUCUGACGUGCAAAUCGAUCGUCAAACGUGAGUAUAGGGGCGAA